AUUGAACGCUGGCGGCAGGCUUAACACAUGCAAGUCGAGCGGUAGAGGGGAGCUUGCUUCCCUUGAGAGCGGCGGACGGGUGAGUAAUGCCUAGGAAUCUGCCUGGUAGUGGGGGACAACGUUCGGAAACGGACGCUAAUACCGCAUACGUCCUACGGGAGAAAGGGGGGGAUCUUCGGACCUUACGCUAUCAGAUGAGCCUAGGUCGGAUUAGCUAGUUGGUAGGGUAAAGGCCUACCAAGGCGACGAUCCGUAACUGGUCUGAGAGGAUGAUCAGUCACACUGGAACUGAGACACGGUCCAGACUCCUACGGGAGGCAGCAGUGGGGAAUAUUGGACAAUGGGCGCAAGCCUGAUCCAGCCAUGCCGCGUGUGUGAAGAAGGUCUUCGGAUUGUAAAGCACUUUAAGUUGGGAGGAAGUUCAGUAAGUUAAUACCUUGUUGAAUUGACGUUACCGACAGAAUAAGCACCGGCUAACUCUGUGCCAGCCGCCGCAGUAACAC
rnacentral:rRNA from 1 species